rnacentral:rRNA from 1 species
UACAGGGGGUGCAAACGUUGCUCGGAAUUAUUGGGCGUAAAGCGCGCGUAGGCGGCUACUUAAGUCGGAUGUGAAAGCCCCUGGCUCAACUGGGGAAGUGCACCCGAAACUGAGUGGCUUGAGUACUAAAGAGGGUCGCGGAAUUCCCGGUGUAGAGGUGAAAUUCGUAGAUAUCGGGAGGAACACCGGUGGCGAAGGCGGCGACCUGGGUCGAGACUGACGCUGAGGUGCGAAAGCGUGGGGAGCAAACAGG